rnacentral:rRNA from 1 species
GACGAACGCUGGCGGCGCGCCUAACACAUGCAAGUCGAACGGAGUCACGAGGAGCUUGCUUUUCUUGACUUAGCGGCGAACGGGUGAGUAACGCGUGAGUAACCUGCCCUGGAGUGGGGGACAACAGUUGGAAACGACUGCUAAUACCGCAUAAGCCCACGGAUCCGCAUGGAUCUGCGGGAAAAGGAUUUAUUCGCUUCAGGAUGGACUCGCGUCCAAUUAGCUAGUUGGUGAGGUAACGGCCCACCAAGGCGACGAUUGGUAGCCGGACUGAGAGGUUGAACGGCCACAUUGGGACUGAGACACGGCCCAGACUCCUACGGGAGGCAGCAGUGGGGGAUAUUGCACAAUGGGGGAAACCCUGAUGCAGCGACGCCGCGUGGAGGAAGAAGGUUUUCUGAUUGUAAACUCCUGUCGUUAGGGACGAUAAUGACGGUACCUAACAAGAAAGCUCCGGCUAACUACGUG